rnacentral:rRNA from 1 species
GACGAACCGUCCUAACGUUGUUCGGAAUCACUGGGCUUAAAGGGCGCGUAGGCGGGUCAGCAAGUCCGGGGUGAAAUCUUUCGGCUCAACCGGAAAAGUGCCUUGGAGACUGCUGGUCUAGAGGGAGGUAGGGGCAUGUGGAACUUCCGGUGGAGCGGUGAAAUGCGUUGAUAUCGGAAGGAACGCCGGUGGCGAAAGCGACGUGCUGGAUCUCUUCUGACGCUGAGGCGCGAAAGCCAGGGGAGCAAACGGG